rnacentral:rRNA from 1 species
UACGGGGGGGGCAAGCGUUGUUCGGAAUUACUGGGCGUAAAGGGCUCGUAGGCGGCCAACUAAGUCAGACGUGAAAUCCCUCGGCUUAACCGGGGAACUGCGUCUGAUACUGGAUGGCUUGAGUUCGGGAGAGGGAUGGGGAAUUCCAGGUGUAGCGGUGAAAUGCGUAGAUAUCUGGAGGAACACCGGUGGCGAAGGCGGCAUCCUGGACCGACACUGACGCUGAUGAGCGAAAGCCAGGGGAGCAAACGGG